CUCCUAAGUUGAAAAACGGGCAUAAUUUUGUAAAAUGCGAAGUUGAGUUAUUGACCCUUUGCACUGCAUGUCAUAUCAUGACAGUCAACAAGUGUGUGAAGUUUCAAUCCUUUCCCAUUAGUGGAUACUGAGAUACCAGCUUACAUACAAAAACUUAACCAAAAAUUUCUAUGUUGAAAAAGGGGCAUAAUUUUGUAAAAAAGCAAAAUAAAGUUAUGGGACCUGCUUUGUGCAUGUCAGAUCAAGACAGUGAACCAAAAAAAUUAUGAUUCAUUUUGUCAAGUCAUUGAAACAUGUCAUUGUAACUUAUGUUUCAUUUCAGGCUCUUUCAUCACUCUUCUCCCUUGAAGAAGACCAGGCGGAUAUUGAAUGGGCACUGGCGAAAGCCACCCUUACCACAGAUGAACACUUUGAGCACCAUGGAGUGGAUUAUUGGUAAUCUGUCCGAGUCUCACCCAAACCUGAGCAAAGUCACUACAGUGGGACUGCUUCUACCAACCUCCACAGCUGAUUGUGAGAGAGGUUUCAGCAGUUGAAUGUGUAAAGACCACCCACCAUUCACCGGUGAGCAUGAAAGUGCUUAAUGCCUUACUCAUGGUGUCCAUGCAGGGACAAAAAUUGAAUGACUUUAAUUUCAGUGGUGCAGUAAAGGAAUGGCACAGAGCCAAAGACAGACACUUACCGGUAUAUGAAAACAAAAAUGCUUAUGUGUUGUUAGUGUUAGUACAAAAGAAGUGGAAGGACAUAUGUGUUGUUCGAAAAUACAUAUAAAAGAAGUGGACAUCGGUGUAGUGUAUAUGAUAUAUUGAUGGUUAUAUGAUUAUGUAAAAAUGUAUAAGUAAUGAAAUA